GGUUAAGCGACUAAGCGUACACGGUGGAUGCCCUGGCAGUCAGAGGCGAUGAAGGACGUGCUAAUCUGCGAUAAGCGUCGGUAAGGUGAUAUAAACCGUUAUAACCGGCGAUUUCCGAAUGGGGAAACCCAGUGUGUUUCGACACACUAUCAUUAACUGAAUCCAUAGGUUAAUGAGGCGAACCGGGGGAACUGAAACAUCUAAGUACCCCGAGGAAAAGAAAUCAACCGAGAUUCCCCCAGUAGCGGCGAGCGAACGGGGAGCAGCCCAGAGCCUGAAUCAGUAUGUGUGUUAGUGGAAGCGUCUGGAAAGGCGCGCGAUACAGGGUGACAGCCCCGUACACAAAAAUGCACAUAUUGUGAGCUCGAUGAGUAGGGCGGGACACGUGGUAUCCUGUCUGAAUAUGGGGGGACCAUCCUCCAAGGCUAAAUACUCCUGACUGACCGAUAGUGAACCAGUACCGUGAGGGAAAGGCGAAAAGAACCCCGGCGAGGGGAGUGAAAAAGAACCUGAAACCGUGUACGUACAAGCAGUGGGAGCACGCUUAGGCGUGUGACUGCGUACCUUUUGUAUAAUGGGUCAGCGACUUAUAUUCUGUAGCAAGGUUAACCGAAUAGGGGAGCCGAAGGGAAACCGAGUCUUAACUGGGCGUUAAGUUGCAGGGUAUAGACCCGAAACCCGGUGAUCUAGCCAUGGGCAGGUUGAAGGUUGGGUAACACUAACUGGAGGACCGAACCGACUAAUGUUGAAAAAUUAGCGGAUGACUUGUGGCUGGGGGUGAAAGGCCAAUCAAACCGGGAGAUAGCUGGUUCUCCCCGAAAGCUAUUUAGGUAGCGCCUCGUGAAUUCAUCUCCGGGGGUAGAGCACUGUUUCGGCAAGGGGGUCAUCCCGACUUACCAACCCGAUGCAAACUGCGAAUACCGGAGAAUGUUAUCACGGGAGACACACGGCGGGUGCUAACGUCCGUCGUGAAGAGGGAAACAACCCAGACCGCCAGCUAAGGUCCCAAAGUCAUGGUUAAGUGGGAAACGAUGUGGGAAGGCCCAGACAGCCAGGAUGUUGGCUUAGAAGCAGCCAUCAUUUAAAGAAAGCGUAAUAGCUCACUGGUCGAGUCGGCCUGCGCGGAAGAUGUAACGGGGCUAAACCAUGCACCGAAGCUGCGGCAGCGACACUAUGUGUUGUUGGGUAGGGGAGCGUUCUGUAAGCCUGUGAAGGUGUGCUGUGAGGCAUGCUGGAGGUAUCAGAAGUGCGAAUGCUGACAUAAGUAACGAUAAAGCGGGUGAAAAGCCCGCUCGCCGGAAGACCAAGGGUUCCUGUCCAACGUUAAUCGGGGCAGGGUGAGUCGACCCCUAAGGCGAGGCCGAAAGGCGUAGUCGAUGGGAAACAGGUUAAUAUUCCUGUACUUGGUGUUACUGCGAAGGGGGGACGGAGAAGGCUAUGUUGGCCGGGCGACGGUUGUCCCGGUUUAAGCGUGUAGGCUGGUUUUCCAGGCAAAUCCGGAAAAUCAAGGCUGAGGCGUGAUGACGAGGCACUACGGUGCUGAAGCAACAAAUGCCCUGCUUCCAGGAAAAGCCUCUAAGCAUCAGGUAACAUCAAAUCGUACCCCAAACCGACACAGGUGGUCAGGUAGAGAAUACCAAGGCGCUUGAGAGAACUCGGGUGAAGGAACUAGGCAAAAUGGUGCCGUAACUUCGGGAGAAGGCACGCUGAUAUGUAGGUGAAGUCCCUCGCGGAUGGAGCUGAAAUCAGUCGAAGAUACCAGCUGGCUGCAACUGUUUAUUAAAAACACAGCACUGUGCAAACACGAAAGUGGACGUAUACGGUGUGACGCCUGCCCGGUGCCGGAAGGUUAAUUGAUGGGGUUAGCCGCAAGGCGAAGCUCUUGAUCGAAGCCCCGGUAAACGGCGGCCGUAACUAUAACGGUCCUAAGGUAGCGAAAUUCCUUGUCGGGUAAGUUCCGACCUGCACGAAUGGCGUAAUGAUGGCCAGGCUGUCUCCACCCGAGACUCAGUGAAAUUGAACUCGCUGUGAAGAUGCAGUGUACCCGCGGCAAGACGGAAAGACCCCGUGAACCUUUACUAUAGCUUGACACUGAACAUUGAGCCUUGAUGUGUAGGAUAGGUGGGAGGCUUUGAAGUGUGGACGCCAGUCUGCAUGGAGCCGACCUUGAAAUACCACCCUUUAAUGUUUAAUGUUCUAACGUUGACCCGUAAUCCGGGUUGCGGACAGUGUCUGGUGGGUAGUUUGACUGGGGCGGUCUCCUCCUAAAGAGUAACGGAGGAGCACGAAGGUUGGCUAAUCCUGGUCGGACAUCAGGAGGUUAGUGCAAUGGCAUAAGCCAGCUUGACUGCGAGCGUGACGGCGCGAGCAGGUGCGAAAGCAGGUCAUAGUGAUCCGGUGGUUCUGAAUGGAAGGGCCAUCGCUCAACGGAUAAAAGGUACUCCGGGGAUAACAGGCUGAUACCGCCCAAGAGUUCAUAUCGACGGCGGUGUUUGGCACCUCGAUGUCGGCUCAUCACAUCCUGGGGCUGAAGUAGGUCCCAAGGGUAUGGCUGUUCGCCAUUUAAAGUGGUACGCGAGCUGGGUUUAGAACGUCGUGAGACAGUUCGGUCCCUAUCUGCCGUGGGCGCUGGAGAACUGAGGGGGGCUGCUCCUAGUACGAGAGGACCGGAGUGGACGCAUCACUGGUGUUCGGGUUGUCAUGCCAAUGGCACUGCCCGGUAGCUAAAUGCGGAAGAGAUAAGUGCUGAAAGCAUCUAAGCACGAAACUUGCCCCGAGAUGAGUUCUCCCUGACUCCUUGAGAGUCCUGAAGGAACGUUGAAGACGACGACGUUGAUAGGCCGGGUGUGUAAGCGCAGCGAUGCGUUGAGCUAACCGGUACUAAUGAACCGUGAGGCUUAACCUU
rnacentral:rRNA from 1 species